GAUGAACGCUAGCGGCAUGCCUUACACAUGCAAGUCGAACGGCAGCACGGGAGCAAUCCUGGUGGCGAGUGGCGAACGGGUGAGUAAUGUAUCGGAACGUACCUUUCAGUGGGGGAUAACGUAGCGAAAGUUACGCUAAUACCGCAUAUUCUGUGAGCAGGAAAGCAGGGGAUCGCAAGACCUUGCGCUGAUUGAGCGGCCGAUAUCAGAUUAGCUAGUUGGUGAGGUAAAGGCUCACCAAGGCGACGAUCUGUAGCGGGUCUGAGAGGAUGAUCCGCCACACUGGAACUGAGACACGGUCCAGACUCCUACGGGAGGCAGCAGUGGGGAAUUUUGGACAAUGGGGGCAGCCCUGAUCCAGCCAUGCCGCGUGAGUGAAGAAAGGCCUCGGUUGUAAGGUACGUACUUUCGUCCGGGUACGGAAAGUACGUAAGUUAC
rnacentral:rRNA from 1 species